UAGGGAAUCUUCCGCAAUGGGCGAAAGCUUGACGGAGCAACGCCGCGUGAGUGAUGAAGGUCUUCGGAUCGUAAAACUCUGUUAUUAGGGAAGAACAAAUGUGUAAGUAACUAUGCACGUCUUGACGGUACCUAAUCAGAAAGCCACGGCUAACUACGUGCCAGCAGCCGCGGUAAUACGUAGGUGGCAAGCGUUAUCCGGAAUUAUUGGGCGUAAAGCGCGCGUAGGCGGUUUUUUAAGUCUGAUGUGAAAGCCCACGGCUCAAACGUGGAGGGUCAUUGGAAACUGGAAAACUUGAGUGCAGAAGAGGAAAGUGGAAUUCCAUGUGUAGCGGUGAAAUGCGCAGAGAUAUGGAGGAACACCAGUGGCGAAGGCGACUUUCUGGUCUGUAACUGACGCUGAUGUGCGAAAGCGUGGGGAUCAAACAGG
rnacentral:rRNA from 1 species